GCGAUGCAUCAAGCUGCCGCGUUGCGCCUUACGGCGCAGUGAGGAAAGUCCGGGCUCCGCAGGGCAUGAUGCCGGGUAACCCCCGGGCGGGAGCGCAAGCCCCCGACAGCAAGCGCAACAGAAAGCAAACCGCCUCUCUGCUUGCAGGAGGUAAGGGUGAAAAGGCAGGGUAAGAGCCUACCGCGGAACCGGCAACGGUUCCGGCGCGGCAAGCCUCAUCAGGAGCAAAGUCAAACAGCGGCGGAACUGCCCGUUUAUGCCGCGGGUAGACUGCGUAGAUCUGUUUCGCAAGGAACAGACCAGAUAGAUGGCAGCAUACACAGAACCCGGCUUAUGAUGCAUCGUUUUU
rnacentral:RNase_P_RNA from 1 species